rnacentral:rRNA from 1 species
UACGUAUGGUGCAAGCGUUAUCCGGAUUUACUGGGCGUAAGGGAGCGCAGGCGGCGCGCCAAGUCUGAUGUGAAACCCCGGGGCUCAACCCCGGGCAUGCAUUGGAAACUGGCGGGCUGGAGUGCCGGAGAGGUAAGCGGAAUUCCUAGUGUAGCGGUGAAAUGCGUAGAUAUUAGGAGGAACACCAGUGGCGAAGGCGGCUUACUGGACGGCAACUGACGCUGAGGCUCGAAAGCGUGGGGAGCAAACAGG